rnacentral:rRNA from 1 species
GACGAACGCUGGCGGCGUGCUUAACACAUGCAAGUCGAGCGAUGAAGUUCCUUCGGGAGUAGAUUAGCGGCGGACGGGUGAGUAACACGUGGGUAACCCGCCUCGUAGAGGGGAAUAGCCUUCCGAAAGGAAGAUUAAUACCGCAUAAGAUUGUAGCUUCGCAUGAAGCAGCAAUUAAAGGAGCAAUCCGCUAUGAGAUGGACCCGCGUCGCAUUAGCUAGUUGGUGAGGUAACGGCUCACCAAGGCGACGAUGCGUAGCCGACCUGAGAGGGUGAUCGGCCACAUUGGGACUGAGACACGGCCCAGACUCCUACGGGAGGCAGCAGUGGGGAAUAUUGCACAAUGGGGGAAACCCUGAUGCAGCAACGCCGCGUGAGUGAUGACGGUCUUCGGAUUGUAAAACUCUGUCUUUAGGGACGAUAAUGACGGUACCUGAGGAGGAAGCCACGGCUAACUACGUGCCAGCCGCCGCAGUAA